rnacentral:rRNA from 1 species
UACGUAGGUGGCGAGCGUUGUCCGGAAUUAUUGGGCGUAAAGCGCGCGUAGGCGGGAAAGUAAGUCCACUUUAAAAGUGCGGGGCUCAACCCCGUGAUGGGGUGGAAACUGCUUUUCUUGAGUGCCGGAGAGGAAAGCGGAAUUCCCAGUGUAGCGGUGAAAUGCGUAGAUAUUGGGAGGAACACCAGUGGCGAAGGCGGCUUUCUGGACGGUGUCUGACGCUGAGGCGCGAAAGCCAGGGGAGCGAACGGG